rnacentral:rRNA from 1 species
AGUGAACGCUGGCGGCGUGCUUAACACAUGCAAGUCGAACGAGAACGGGAUAUAGCUUGCUAUAUUUGUCAGCUAAGUGGCGCACGGGUGAGUAAUGUAUAGAUAACCUUCCCUCUAGAAAGGAAUAACAGUUGGAAACGACUGCUAAUGCCCUAUAUGCCUUUAAUACAUAAGUAUGCAAGGGAAACGCUUUAGUGCGAGAGGAUGGGUCUGUAUGGUAUCAGCUUGUUGGUGAGGUAAUGGCUCACCAAGGCUAUGACGCCUAACUGGUUUGAGAGGAUGAUCAGUCACACUGGAACUGAGACACGGUCCAGACUCCUACGGGAGGCAGCAGUGGGUAAUAUUGCACAAUGGACGAAAGUCUGAUGCAGCAACGCCGCGUGGAGGAUGACACAUUUCGGUGCGUAAACUCCUUUUAUAUAGGAAGAUAAUGACGGUACUAUAUGAAUAAGCACCGGCUAACGCCGUGCCAGCAGCCGCAGUAAAAC